AGAGAACAUAGAAGUCCUUUAACAGCUGGUUUUGUGAGGUCAUUUAGAAUGAUGGAUGCUCAACAUUCAGUGGGAAUCUAUAAUAGCAAUGGGAACUUAUUCACUUAUUUAUACACGCAACAAACACGUUAUUGAGAAUCAAUGAGGGGCUCACAUGUUAUCACAAUCACUCUCCACUGACCACUUUGACACAGAAUCUCCACUGGAUAAUUUUGAACGUCCCUUCAAACGUAGUUUUCUAUAGGAACCUGUUGUCUGCCUUCCUGCUGCUGUCUGCCAAUCACUCCCUUGCAUAUUUCCUCAAGUUACCCCACCUGAACAUCCUCCUGGGAGGAAGCAGGGCGUGAAUCCGAGGGAAUUAGUGAAGUCAUUCCCUAGCCAUCCUCGAUGGCGGAGCGGUGGUGUGUCUCAGCAAAAAGGUUUGUCAUUGCAGGGGCUGGAGGGCUUAGACCUAGCAGAGGCCCAG
rnacentral:lncRNA from 1 species